UUGGAGGGCAAGUCUGGUGCCAGCAGCCGCGGUAAUUCCAGCUCCAAUAGCGUAUAUUAAAGUUGUUGCAGUUAAAAAGCUCGUAGUUGAAUUUCGGGGUUAGUAGGUUGGUCAUGCCACUGGUAUGUACUGGUCUCACUGAUUCCUCCUUCCUGAUGAGCCGUAAUGCCAUUAAUUUGGUGUUGCGAGGAAUCUGGACUGUUACUUUGAAAAAAUUAGAGUGUUUAAAGCAGGCUCACACUUGAAUACAUUAGCAUGGAAUAACGAAAUAGGACGUUUGAUUCUAUUUUGUUGGUUUCUAGGAUCGACGUAAUGAUUAAUAGGGAUAGUUGGGGGCAUUAGUAUUCAAUUGUCAGAGGUGAAAUUCUUGGAUUUAUUGAAGACUAACUACUGCGAAAGCAUUUGCCAAGGAUGUUUUCAUUAAUCAAGAACGAAAGUUAGGGGAUCGAAGACGAUCAGAUACCGUCGUAAUCUUAACCAUAAACUAUGCCGACUAGGGAUCGGAUGAUGUUAAUUUUUUAAUGACUCAUUCGGCGCCUUACGGGAAACCAAAGUGUUUGGGUUC
rnacentral:rRNA from 1 species